rnacentral:tRNA from 2 species
GCCGAGGUGGCGGAACUGGCAGACGCACGGGACUUAAAAUCCCGGGCUCCGCAAGGGGCGUGAGGGUUCAAUUCCCUCCCUCGGCA